rnacentral:sRNA from 2 species
CGCCCGUCAAACCACGAAAGUCAGCAAUACCCGAAACCGGUGGCCUAACCUUUAUAGGAGGGAGCCGUCUAAGGUAGGGUUGAUGAUUGGGGUUAAGUCGUAACAAGGUAUCCGUACCGGAAGGUGCGGAUGGAUCACCUCCUUUCUAAGGAGUAAAACAAAUACCAAAUUGCUUUCAUCAUAUUCAGUUUUGAAGGAUUUUCCUUCAGUAUAAUAAAGAGAUCUUUGAAGAGUAGAUAAAUUCUGUCGUAACAAAAUAAUUAAAAAGACAAAAGGUUAAGGAAUGAAGGGCAUAGAGUGGAUGCCUUGGCAUUAAGAGGCGAUGAAGGACGUGACUAACGACGAAACGCCAUGGGGAGCUGUAAGUAAGUGACGAUCCAUGGGUAUCCGAAUGGGGAAACCCAACAUGUUGAAGACAUAUUAUAUGAUUUAAUCAUAGGCAAGACGCAGGGAAUUGAAAUAUCUUAGUAUCUGCAGGAAAAGAAAGUAAAAACGAUUCUGCUAGUAGUGACGAGCGAACGCGGAGGAGCCCGAUACCAUAAUAGUAAAAAAACUAAUAAAUAGAAGAAUAACCUGGGAAGGUUAACCAAAGAAGGUGAUAGUCCUGUAAUCGAAAUUUAUUAGACUAGGGUAUCAAAGAGUACAGCGGGACACGUGAAAUCUUGCUGGAACGAAUAAGGAGGACCAUCUCCUAAGGCUAAAUACUACUUAAUGACCGAUAGUGAACCA